rnacentral:rRNA from 1 species
UACGUAGGGGGCAAGCGUUGUCCGGAAUCAUUGGGCGUAAAGAGCGUGUAGGCGGCCCGGUAAGUCUGUUGUGAAAGUCGGGGGGCUCAACCCUCAGAUGCCGGUGGAUACUGUCGGGCUUGAGUACGGAAGAGGCGAGUGGAAUUCCUGGUGUAGCGGUGAAAUGCGCAGAUAUCAGGAGGAACACCGAUGGCGAAGGCAGCUCGCUGGGGACGGUACUGACGCUGAGACGCGAAAGCGUGGGGAGCAAACAGG